ensembl:miRNA Gm26043 predicted gene, 26043
CUUGAGCUAUUGGCCUUUGUGUGCAUGCGCUGUGUGUUUGUAAUUCUGUGUACACACACACACACACACACACACACACACACACACACACACACACACACACACACGU